UGGGGAAUUUUGGACAAUGGGCGAAAGCCUGAUCCAGCAAUGCCGCGUGUGUGAAGAAGGCCUUCGGGUUGUAAAGCACUUUUGUCCGGAAAGAAAUCCUUGGCUCUAAUACAGUCGGGGGAUGACGGUACCGGAAGAAUAAGCACCGGCUAACUACGUGCCAGCAGCCGCGGUAAUACGUAGGGUGCAAGCGUUAAUCGGAAUUACUGGGCGUAAAGCGUGCGCAGGCGGUUUGCUAAGACCGAUGUGAAAUCCCCGGGCUAACCUGGGAACUGCAUUGGUGACUGGCAGGCUAGAGUAUGGCAGAGGGGGGUAGAAUUCCACGUGUAGCAGUGAAAUGCGUAGAGAUGUGGAGGAAUACCGAUGGCGAAGGCAGCCCCCUGGGCCAAUACUGACGCUCAUGCACGAAAGCGUGGGGAGCAAAACAGGAUUAGAUACCCUGGUAGUCCACGCCCUAAACGAUGUCAACUAGUUGUUGGGGAUUCAUUUCCUUAGUAACGUAGCUAACGCGUGAAGUUGACCGCCCGGGGAGUACGGUCGCAAGAUUAAAACUCAAAGGAAUUGACGGGGUCAUAGCUGUUUCCU
rnacentral:rRNA from 1 species